rnacentral:ncRNA from 2 species
GCUUUGAAAUGGUCAAGGCCAUUCAAGCGACCAUUACAUUGGUCAGCCGCAAUAACAUGCUUAGGCGAAUACAUUAAGAGGUUCACAGUAAGUGAGUAAUAAAGUGAAAGCUGAAGGUGAC